AUUGAACGCUGGCGGCAGGCCUAACACAUGCAAGUCGAACGAGUGGCGGACGGGUGAGUAAUGUCUGGGAAACUGCCUGAUGGAGGGGGAUAACUACUGGAAACGGUAGCUAAUACCGCAUACCAUCAGCUGUGCCCAGACGGGUUAAGCUAGUUGGUGGGGUAACGGCUCACCAAGGCGACGAUCCCUAGCUGGUCUGAGAGGAUGACCGGCCACAAUGAAGCUGAAACACGGGCCAGACUCCUACGGGAGGCAGGCGUAGAGAAUAUUGCACGAUGGGCGCAAGCCUGAUGCAGCCAUGCCGCAUGUAUGAAGAAGGCCUUCGGGUUGUAAAGUGCUUUCAGCGGGGAGGCGUUACCCGCAGAAGAAGCACCGGCUAACUCCGUGCCAGCAGCCGCGGUAAUAC
rnacentral:rRNA from 1 species